GACGAACGCUGGCGGCGUGCUUAACACAUGCAAGUCGAACGAAGUGGCGAACGGGUGAGUAACGCGUAAUCAACCUGCCCUUCAGAGGGGGACAACAGUUGGAAACGACUGCUAAUACCUCAUACUGAAGGAGGGGAUUGCGUCUGAUUAGCUAGUUGGAGGGGUAAGGGCCCACCAAGGCGAGGAUCAGUAGCCGGUCGGAGAGGAUGAACGGCCACAUGGGGACUGAGACACGGGCCAGACUCCUAUGGGAGGCAGCAGUGGGGAAGCUGCCGAAAUGGACGAAAGUCUGACGGAGCAACGCCGCGUGAGUGAUGACGGCCUUCGGGUUGUAAAGCUCUGUUAAUCGGGACGCGGUACCGGAAUAGAAAGCCACGGCUAACUACGUGCCAGCCGCCGCGGUAAUUC
rnacentral:rRNA from 1 species